rnacentral:rRNA from 1 species
CCUACGGGGGGCAGCAGUGGGGAAUAUUGGACAAUGGGCGCAAGCCUGAUCCAGCCAUGCCGCGUGGGUGAAGAAGGCCUUCGGGUUGUAAAGCCCUUUUGUUGGGAAAGAAAAGCAGUCGGUUAAUACCCGAUUGUUCUGACGGUACCCAAAGAAUAAGCACCGGCUAACUUCGUGCCAGCAGCCGCGGUAAUACGAAGGGUGCAAGCGUUACUCGGAAUUACUGGGCGUAAAGCGUGCGUAGGUGGUGGUUUAAGUCUGUUGUGAAAGCCCUGGGCUCAACCUGGGAAUUGCAGUGGAUACUGGGUCACUAGAGUGUGGUAGAGGGUAGCGGAAUUCCCGGUGUAGCAGUGAAAUGCGUAGAGAUCGGGAGGAACAUCCGUGGCGAAGGCGGCUACCUGGACCAACACUGACACUGAGGCACGAAAGCGUGGGGAGCAAACAGGAUUAGAUACCCUUGUAGUC